GGCCUUUCCUGAGGCGGCGCUGCGGGGAGCUGUGUGCUGGCAACAAAAGCAGUUAAGAGAUGAGUUGGUUUCUGGCUUCUGGAAUCUUCAGGCUGAGCUCUGUGCUGUUACCUUGCAAGCAGGAAGAUGUCACAUGAAUUCUGACAGAUAUGUUAUCAGAUGACUUUCUCCACUGACUUCAAGCUGUGCACAGCCAACAGCAGACUGUUGAUUUCCAUAAGUAUGGGUGUUUAAGAAGGUUGAGAACAGUGUGAAAUGUGGAUUUCUAAUGCACCUGGAAAUGCUUUCCUGGCCCUUCCUGCUUCCCAGAAGCACUGCUUGAUUCUAAUAUGCUCGGGGUGAAGUCCUGUGACUUCUAAUGCCAUGCUGAAAGGAAGAAGUCAAGUAAGAUGGAGUUAGAGUUUAGAUGAAAAUGUGAAUAAUGCCUGAAUGAAGUUCAAGUGAGAGUGUGGCUGAGAAGUAGCCCUUCAGAUGCUGUUAGAACUCAGUAUGAAUAUUUAAGUUCAUAGUUAAUAUUCAUAUAGUUAAUAUUGCAAACAAAAUUUGAUUACAGGAUUAAAACACAUAGGAAAACUUGUUUUCUUGUCUAAAUUAGUGUUUAUAAUAAUGCUGGAAGCUGUUCUGCUCACUUUCAAUGCAGUAUUUGUAUAAAUAAAAUCUUGGAUUUGUAAUUCCAAUGGCUGUGUUUUGUUGUGUUGUGUUUUGUUAGGCUGUGUAAAUGGUAGCACCAUGAUCUUGCUGCUUGACCUGCACAGAAGUCGCAGCAAGCCUUCAAUAUUUGCUCAGUUCAUCCAUCUUUGAGUAGAAGUCUAUACACUUUGCUGCAUUUAAUGUGGACCUCUGAUGUAAAACUUGCCCAGUGUUAUGCCUACAGCUACAUCAUUGCUAGGAAGACAAGUAAGAGAAGUCCCUAGUUGGAGCAGCUGUAUCGGUCUUUACACUCAUUUUUGCAAUGAGGCAGUUAGACUGGAACCCCUUGAGCUGCUUCCUCCCAGCACUGAAAACAGUUGUCUACUUCUCUGUAACUGCAGUCCCAGGAAGCUAAAGUAGAAGCUUCAGACUCAGAGUGGAGACUUCAUUCUUCGUUAGUGCUAAUGCUGUUCUCAUCACUGAGGUCAAAUGGAAAUACUGCGUUUGGCUCUAUGCACAAUGCAGACUUGCCUAAGCAAAGAAGAAAUCAGUUCAGACCCUAGGAGGCUUGGCAACCUUUGGCCUGUAUUUGUAAGGAGUGGAGAGAAAAAAGAAAGCUGUUGCAUAGAUUACUGAGUAAUUCAGUUUUGUAAGUUAGCACUUCUGCAUUAGAUUGUGAUUCUGUCCCUGCCAAAUUUGUGUCAACAACUGUGACAUGAUAAAGAAAACAUUACUUUCUUGAGGGAAAGAAUUCUGUUUAUGCUUUAACCUGGACUGAUGCUACAGCUGCAGAGGAGCGAUGUCUCCAAUGUGCUCUCAUAAGGAUAGAGGCUUGGUGCUGUGUGGGGCCUUAGGUACAGCACUGAGGCUCACCACUGGAAAGUCAACUGAAAGACUUCCUUCUGAUCACAACUCUUAACAUUGGAAGCUUUCACUUGAAAUGAAAUACCUCUAUUAUUGCAACUGACUUAAGAUAAGCUUUUUUCAGACUGACCAAACAUGAAAAUAUACUCAAGACUAAAGACUGACUUACCAUGUUU